AGCAGUCGCCGCGGGAAUACGGAGGGUGCAAGCGUUAAUCGGAAUUACUGGGCGUAAAGCGCACGCAGGCGGUUUGUUAAGUCAGAUGUGAAAUCCCCGAGCUUAACUUGGGAACUGCAUUUGAAACUGGCAAGCUAGAGUCUUGUAGAGGGGGGUAGAAUUCCAGGUGUAGCGGUGAAAUGCGUAGAGAUCUGGAGGAAUACCGGUGGCGAAGGCGGCCCCCUGGACAAAGACUGACGCUCAGGUGCGAAAGCGUGGGGAGCAAACAGGAUUAGAUACCCGAGUAGUCCCUGUCUCUUAUAA
rnacentral:rRNA from 1 species